rnacentral:misc_RNA from 1 species
AACGCACAUUGCGCCCGCUAGUAUUCUGGCGGGCAUGCCUGUUCGAGCGUCAUUUCAACCAUCAAGCGCCUGCGCUUGUGUUGGAGCCCUGCGGCUGCCGCAGGCUCCCAAACCCAGUGGCGGGCUCGUCGUCGUACCGAGUGCAGUAAAUUUACCACGCUCAGGGCACGCGACGGGUGACCGGCCGUAAAACCCCCCCUUCUCAAGGUUGACCUCGGAUCAGGUAGGAAUACCCGCUGAACUUAA